AGAGUUUGAUCCUGGCUCAGAUUGAACGCUGGCGGUAUGCUUAACACAUGCAAGUCGAACGGAAACGGAACUAGCUUGCUAGUAGACGUCGAGUGGCGGACGGGUGAGUAACGCGUAGGAAUCUGCCUGAUAGUGGGGGAUAGCCCGAAGAAAUUCGGAUUAAUACCGCAUAAUCUAUUCGUAGUAAAGUGGGGGACUUUCGAGCCUCACGCUAUCAGAUGAGCCUGCGUAAGAUUAGCUAGUUGGUAGGGUAAAAGCCUACCAAGGCUACGAUCUUUAGCUGGUCUGAGAGGAUGAUCAGCCACAUCGGGACUGAGACACGGCCCGAACUCCUACGGGAGGCAGCAGUGGGGAAUAUUGGACAAUGGGGGCAACCCUGAUCCAGCAAUACCGCGUGUGUGAAGAAGGCCUGAGGGUUGUAAAGCACUUUCAAUUGUGAAGAAAAGUUAACGGUUAAUAACCGUUAGCCUUGACGUUAACUUUAGAAGAAGCACCGGCUAACUCCGUGCCAGCAGCCGCGGUAAUACGGAGGGUGCAAGCGUUAAUCGGAAUUACUGGGCGUAAAGCGUGCGUAGGCGGUUUAUUAAGUCAGAUGUGAAAGCCCCGGGCUUAACCUGGGAACUGCAUUUGAAACUGGUCAACUAGAGUAUGGUAGAGGAAAGUGGAAUUUCUGGUGUAGCGGUGAAAUGCGUAGAUAUCAGAAGGAACAUCAAUGGCGAAGGCAGCUUUCUGGACCAAUACUGACGCUGAGGUACGAAAGCGUGGGUAGCAAACAGGAUUAGAUACCCUGGUAGUCCACGCCGUAAACGAUGAUAACUAGCCGUUGGGGGGAUUUACCCCUUAGUGGCGAAGCUAACGCGUUAAGUUAUCCGCCUGGGGAGUACGGCCGCAAGGCUAAAACUCAAAGGAAUUGACGGGGACCCGCACAAGCGGUGGAGCAUGUGGUUUAAUUCGAUGCAACGCGAAGAACCUUACCUGGUCUUGACAUCCUGCGAACUUUCUAGAAAUAGAUUGGUGCCUUCGGGAACGCAGUGACAGGUGCUGCAUGGCUGUCGUCAGCUCGUGUCGUGAGAUGUUGGGUUAAGUCCCGUAACGAGCGCAACCCCUAUCCUUAUUUGCCAGCACAUUAUGGUGGGAACUAUAAGGAGACUGCCGGUGAUAAACCGGAGGAAGGCGGGGACGACGUCAAGUCAUCAUGGCCCUUACGACCAGGGCUACACACGUGCUACAAUGGGAAGGACAAAGAGCCGCGAAGCCGCGAGGUGUAGCUAAUCUCAUAAAUCUUUUCGUAGUCCGGAUUGGAGUCUGCAACUCGACUCCAUGAAGUCGGAAUCGCUAGUAAUCGUAGAUCAGAAUGCUACGGUGAAUACGUUCCCGGGUCUUGUACACACCGCCCGUCACACCAUGGAAGUUGGUUACACCUUAAGGCAAAGCGUAAAAACUUUGACUACGGUACGAUCAGCGACUGGGGUGAAGUCGUAACAAGGUAACC
rnacentral:rRNA from 1 species